rnacentral:tRNA from 1 species
AAUCCGUCGAUUUAAAAAAUCGUGAGGGUUCAAGUCC